rnacentral:tRNA from 1 species
AAGGUGCCGGGGCUUCUCCCGUCG